rnacentral:rRNA from 1 species
GAUGAACGCUGACAGAAUGCUUAACACAUGCAAGUCAACUUGAAUUUCGGUUAUUACCUUCGGUUAGGGUUGCCGACGGGCGAGUAACUCGUAAAGACCUCGCCUCCCAGCUAGGCACAACAUUUGGAGACGAAUGCUAAUACCUAAUAUUACGUUAAUAGUGCAUCCUAUAAUUAUGAAAGCUAUAAGCUUUGUGAGAGAGCUUUGCGUCGCAUUAGCUAGGUGGUGGGGUAAAGGCUCACCAAGGCGAUGAUGGGUAGCCGGUCUGAGAGGAUGAUCAGCCACACUGGAACGGAGACACGGUACAGACUCCUACGGGAGGCAGCAGUGGGGAAUAUUGGACAAUGGGCGCAAGCCUGAUGCAGCCAUACCGCGUGGGUGAAGAAGGCCUUCGGGUUGUAAAGUCCUUUUGUUGGGAAAGAAAAGCAGUAGGUUAAUACACGGCUGUUCUGACGGUACCCAAAGAAUAAGCACCGGCUAACUUCGUG